CCUACGGGAGGCAGCAGUAGGGAAUAUUGCUCAAUGGGGGAAACCCUGAAGCAGCAACGCCGCGUGGAGGAUGAAGGUUCUAGGGUUGGUAACCCCCUGUGAUAGAGAAGAUAAUGACGGUAUCUAAAGAAUAAGCACUGGCUAACUCCGUGCCAGCAGCCGCGGUAAUACGGAGGGUGCAAGCGUUACUCGGAAUCACUGGGCGUAAAGAGCGCGUAGGCGGGAUAGCAAGUCAGCUGUGAAAUGCUAGGGCUUAACCCGAGAACUGCAUUGGAAACUGGGAUGCUAGAGUAUGGGAGAGGUAGGUGGAAUUCUUGGUGUAGGGGUAAAAUGCGUAGAGAUCAAGAGGAAUACUCAUUGCGAAGGCGGCCUGCUGGAACGUAACUGACGCUGAUGCUCGAAAGCGAGGGGAGCGAACAGGAUUAGAUACCCGAGUAGUC
rnacentral:rRNA from 1 species